rnacentral:lncRNA from 1 species
CCGGUUUUAGCCAGAACAGCCAUGGAUCUGACUCGAACGGCCAUAGAUGGCUGGAAAGAGACCAUGGAUAGAAGUUGAGCAAGGUCUGAACUAGAUCUUUUCGAGAUCUUUCCACAAAAUCAUAGAAGCGAACCACAAGGAGAAGUAGGAGACAAGCACACGUCUCAAACAACAAUGGGAGUCCAUGGAUUGGGCGAGGAUCGAAGGGGAUUAGGGUUAGUUUGGCUGGAAGUGGCUAGGGCUUGAGUGAGGUUGCAGAGCAAAUUGGAGAGGGAAAGGGAAUUGAAAGGCGGCG